AAUCCAAACAUAUCCUUCAGUGGCAAGUUACUAUGCAAUUCAAUCCCUCAGUCAUACUACAUCCUGAAUAAGUGCAUGAGUAUGGAUCAAUAUCAAACUCAAUCACUUAUUCAUGUCUUUCUCAAUCUUUUAUAUGAUAAUUCAAACAAUGAAACAUUAGAAACUCUUUCUAAUUUUUAUUUUGCUUUGAUCAAAGGCUUCUUGAAUCAUCAUAAGAUUAGAGUAAG
rnacentral:lncRNA from 1 species